ensembl:lncRNA
ACCACAGAAGCCAAUAGGGAGGGAUGGAGAGAGGGAGGGAGAGGAGGAGUAGUGGGCGUAAACAAUGGAUUUGGGGGCUGAUGAGGUCAGACAGCCUUCUGUAAAUGUAUGAGGACUACCAGGUCCUGUUGACAACAGCUGCAGAACAUCAGUAUCUCCAAUUCUGAAUGAGAGCAUGGAGCGGAGAGCAUGAGAAAAGAUGAUAAAAAGUCUUCUCCAAGCAGCCCUGAUGUGGUCUCAAUGAAGAAAGAGAGAGGAGCCACUUACCUGUAUCUCAAAACACUAUCUGGAUUUUGGGAGGCAGAGAACAAGAGAGGAGAGGGAGGAAUGGAGAGAGGGAUUAGAAACUAAUCCAGGACACGGCCAAUCCCAGAGGAGCUCCUUUUCUUCCAAGACACAGACACAACAGUCGCACGGAUUACUGCACUUUAGUGUAUUGCCUUUAAAAAAAAGAAGCAUUAUCCCUUUUGUAUAGUGUUUCAUUGUCCCUAAAUGCCUGGUGUCCCGGGCCUGUGGUAAAUGUGCUGAAUUCUACAACAAAGGAUAAAAGAGGACAACAGUCCCGGUGAGAGGGGAGCGAAGUGACAGGAUGUCCCAUGGACUAUGUGGUGACACACGCAGAUAAAGCGCUUUAGUGGAGACGACAUGUGUGAACAGACCCCCUGCUCUUUCUGCUGGGUCUCAGAGGGACUGAAAGCUGAACACCCCUGUGGACGGUACAUUCAAGAUCAAACUUCUAUGAGUGAAUACUAAAACGACUGAGUGGCUAGUGAGUGACAGGUUGGAGAUAUUUUAGUUGUUGAUUACAGAGGAGAAUAAGGUGAGGUUGCUUUCAAAGCAGGAUUACAAAUUAGUUUCUGGAAAAACAUACUGUAUCUGAAGGGAAGAAGGAGUUGAUUGAGGAGACUUGCGGCAGCCUAGAAACCUCUAUCAUUAACUGGGAGGAUCUGAGUUCAUGUGUGUAGGUGCAUUAGAGAAGAUUAUUAGCUGCCAAUCAAAGGUGUCAGCCUAUUGAGUCACUUCUCAAUAAGCCAUAUCUAAAGUGACCUGGUUGGUGAGAGUUGUUGUCUUGGUGUUGUGUUGGUGUUGAAACCUGUAGUGGUGAGAAGAGAAAGCGCUGGGUGAGAGUGAGGUGGUAAUAAAGGUUGUUUUAAAGCUGACAUAAUCCCAUUACAGUUUCUUAACAAGUUAUUUAUAAUCUCCAACAAGUUUAUUGGACAGAGCACACAGGGCCAAGCAGCUUAAACAUAACCACUUUCAGAUGUAUAACACUGCCUGACUCCUAUCUACUGUACUGUGCCAAGUCAAGAAUGAAUUUGAACUAGGUUUACAGAAAACUAAAUAUUUAUUCUCAUUUUACGAGGAUCUCGUAAACCUCUGGCAAGGUGAUUAGUGUCUAGACGGGUGGGAUGUUCGUUAACUGUUUGUAAACAAGACAUUGGAUGGUUUUCACAGAAAGGGGUCUCUAGGUAACACUGCUGGCUGUCCAGCUUUGACAAAAGAUAUUGGUGCUCAUUUUAAAGGUAGGUAUAGACUUCAGUUUGGACUGAUCCUAAAAAGACAAGAACAAGAAUAUUUUGUAAAGCCUCAUUGCUUAACUUUGAGAGGGAAGUUUAAGGACCUGUAUAUUUUUGUUGCUGAAGGGAAAGGUGCAUUUAAAUGACCUAAUUAUAGAAAUUGCUGUGCACAUCUAAGAUUGAUUUAGCUCUAGAAACGUUCACAGGAAUGAGCUUGCCAACAGAGAGAGCAUCAUAGUUAUAUUGUUAGUGUUCACAAGCAGAAACACAAGUUCAAAAUAACAGUCAGGCAAUACUCCAAUCCACAAAGAGUGAAAUGUAUUUUGUCUGAUGGACAGAAUAUGAGCAUCUCUUGGUAUUCUCUCACUCUUUCACUGCACAAAUACUGGAUGAGUUAUGUUUCACUGUCAGUAUAUAUUUGGAGCCGCAACUGGAUAUAUUUUCUGAACUGACAUUCAAAAACCCACCGUCUGGGAAAAGAACAGUGGAUCCCAAGCUCUCAGACCACAUAGGCUGUGGUUAUUCCAGAAUCCCUGGGAUGUGUCAUUCCUCUUCUUUUUAUUCCUCAUGACUGAAAGCUGCUGGGAAGGAGGACAGGAUUUCUUUGAGGCUGGAGUCAUUCUAAAGCACAGAAUUGAUCCUGAGAUAGAAAGCUUUGGAUGUUGACUGACCCCAUAGAUAACCCAUCAUUCAGCUGAAAACUUCAGUGGGACUUCCUAAAGCCAAACUGCAGGCUUACGCUCGAUGAAUAGCUGGCACUUGCUGCCGUGUGGAGAAUGUAUUCUACACACAUUCUCAGCACAUCAUUUGUGUUUUUCUUUUUUUUAAGGAUCCAGAAAGUUGUUUAAGUGUCUUUUAACACUCAUUUUACUUUGGAAAAGUUGACUGAUUUCUUACUGGAUUUUUUAUCCCCCUGAUUAAUUAUAUUUUAA